rnacentral:lncRNA from 1 species
ACCUCACACUGGGGCAAUCUAGGCAAAAAUUAGGGAUUUGGCAAGUAACUGCAUCUUGACAAGACUGUGCUCUAUAUCUGUCAUCCGUCAGGGAUUCUCGAUUCAUCGUCGACUGAAGCUUUGAAUACAUCGAAAAUUCAGAAUGGUAGAGGAAAGGUCAUUAUGUUCAAUGUAGCCCUCUCCAAUAUAUAUCACCGAUUUCAAACUUGUACAGAUCUAUGGAGUCUCGCCCUUUGCAGACUACCAUUCCAUUACAU